rfam:Oryza sativa (indica cultivar-group) chromosome 4, whole genome shotgun sequence.
AAAAAGUCAAAACCCUGAAUUUUCGUGUCUAACUUUGACUGUCCAUUUUAAAUUUUUUUAUAAUUCGUAUUUUUAUUGUUGUUAGAUGAUAAAACAUGAUUAAUAUUUUAUGCGUGAUUUGUCUUUUUAAUUUUUUUCAUAAUUUUUUCAAAUAAGACGGACGGUCAAAUGUUAGACACGGAAACCAGGAUUUAUU